rnacentral:tRNA from 1 species
GCGCCCGUAGCUCAGCUGGAUAGAGCGUGAGCUUGCGGAGCUCAAGGCCGGAGGUUCAAGUCCUCCCGGGCGCACCA